CGGCUUUUGCUGGCCGCUGUCUUCUUAGAGGGACUAACAGCGUUUAGCUGUUGGAAGUUUGAGGCAAUAACAGGUCUGUGAUGCCCUUAAAUGUUCUGGGCCGCACGCGCGCUACACUGACUGAGCCAGCGAGUUUAUAACCUUGGCCGAAAGGUCUGGGUAAUCUUGUGAAACUCAGUCGUGCUGGGGAUAGAGCAUUGCAAUUAUUGCUCUUCAACGAGGAAUGCCUAGUAAGCGCAAGUCAUCAGCUUGCGUUGAUUACGUCCCUGCCCUUUGUACACACCGCCCGUCGCUACUACCGAUUGAAUGGCUC
rnacentral:rRNA from 1 species